GCCUUCUGAUGAGGGGGCAAAAACAGGACAGAAUAUAGACUAUUACUUCUAAAUUAUGUUUUACGAUGUAAAAAUCUUAAUAGCAUUAUAAGUGGACCUCAGAGAACAGUACAUAAUAAAAAACAAAACACAGAGGCAGUUCAUGACCCUUUAAGAUUGAUAACAUUCACUUUCACCCUGACCAAUUCUAGUAAAAACAGCAGGCGGAAUAAUAUAGAAACUAGAAAAUAGUUUUAGAGUAGCAUAGCAUUUCACACAGUAUGUCAACUAACCCAAGUUACCCAGAUUUAGCUCAACUCGAAUAGCCUGAACUAGUAAAACUGGCAGGUUUUGGAGGUGUUUGUAGCAGAACUUGUCAUAGCUUUUAUGAACUCGAUGCUGUAAAGCGGACAUGACGACAGCAGAGAGGAACCACACCUAACCAUCAAUAAAGCGCAUUUCCUUCGGGUCUGUGAUCACUGGACACGGGUUAAUAAGAGCAGUUCCCUCCCAAAUAACGCAAGUAUUCUGGAGCAGAGCUUAACGUGAAACAAGACUGACUUCCUAACGGUGUUUCACCUCAACUUCUGUUAAAUCACAAUCAAAAUCCCUCUGAAACCUGGAAAAUCAACCGACAGAAGCUUCACCAAGUCCAGCAAUCUCAAACCAGGUCUAACCCACCUGUUUGACGGUAACGUUAGCCAGGCGAAGCAGGUCCUGGAGUCUCUGAUGAGGUGUGUUUGAUGGAGGAACACAGCUGGAAACCACUGAUUCAAACACUGGUCAUUUAAAUCAACCAUAUAGAAAAAUAAUGAUUUGAUGAAUUGAAGAAUCGAUCCAGAAUCAGUGUAAAGCGGCGGACGGCGGCGAUGAUUGAGACGUCACUCUGAGUAUAUCUGUCUUUGGUGUCAGCUGUGUGUGAAGUGCGCUGCGGCUCUCACAGAGGUGGUCAGCGGGCCCCUUUCUUUCACACGGCGGCCCCUCGGUUCAAUGUUAACGUCCAGCGGCUCCGCCUCCAGCUUUCACACCCUGUGCCGUCCAGCUGGCUGUGACCCCUGACCUCCUGACCCUCACUCCUGACCCCUGGACUCGUUCCCACGCCACACCGUUUUGUACGGCCAUCGCUGCACCGUAACAGAUGGAAAUAGCUUUAUUCAGCGGAGAGGUGGACAAUCUGCCCAAACGCUCCUCAAUAACCGUCACGUAGACUCCAGCGCCUCCGAUCAUGUGAUCUGACCAGUCUGCGAGUAACACACAUCCACUGCUGUGACAAACCAAUGUUUAGAAGAAUGCUGGAAACUCAAACACAAAUUUGAGAGGUGGACGACGUAACCAACAUAUGCACCACAAUAUAAAUCAUUUUCAACCACAAGGAAGGCCAUAACAUUGUUGUAGUUAUAAAUAAUAAAUAAAUGCAUCUUCAUUCAAGAUUUCUGUCUUGUUUAAGAUAUUAAAGGCCAUUGCACACUGAGUUUCGCACGUUGAAAAAUAAAUACGACCUCACGUCGUGUCAAUCACGGUUACACACUGCCUCCGAAACUUUUGUCCGUCAUAAA